rnacentral:tRNA from 1 species
GAGAUAUUAGUAAAAUUUAUAAAGCCUUGUCAUGGCUUAGUUAUUAGUUUAAGUCUAAUAUAUCUUA